ACGGGGUGCAGCAGGCGCGAAAACUUUGCAAUGUGCGAAAGCACGACAAGGUUAAUCCGAGUGGUUUCUGCUAAAGGAACCUUUUGUUAGUCCUAGAAACACUAACGAAUAAGGGGUGGGCAAGUUCUGGUGUCAGCCGCCGCGGUAAAACCAGCACCUCAAGUGGUCAGGAUGAUUAUUGGGCCUAAAGCAUCCGUAGCCGGCUCAGUAAGUUUUCGGUUAAAUCUGUACGCUCAACGUACAGGCUGCCGGGAAUACUGCAGAGCUAGGGAGUGGGAGAGGUAGACGGUACUCGGGAGGAAGUGGUAAAAUGCUUUGAUCUUUCGAUGACCACCUGUGGCGAAGGCGGUCUACCAGAACACGUCCGACGGUGAGGGAUGAAAGCUGGGGGAGCAAACCGGAUUAGAUACCCGGGUAGUCCCAGCUGUAAACUAUGCAAACUCAGUGAUGCAUUGGCUUGUGGCCAAUGCAGUGUUGCAGGGAAGCCGUUAAGUUUGCCGCCUGGAAGUACGUACGCAAGUA
rnacentral:rRNA from 1 species